rnacentral:rRNA from 1 species
AGCGGCGGACGGGUGAGUAACACGUGGGUAACCUGCCCAAGAGACUGGGAUAACACCUGGAAACGGAUGCUAAUACCGGAUAACAACACUAGACGCAUGUCUAGAGUUUGAAAGAUGGUUCUGCUAUCACUCUUGGAUGGACCUGCGGUGCAUUAGCUAGUUGGUAAGGUAACGGCUUACCAAGGCAAUGAUGCAUAGCCGAGUUGAGAGACUGAUCGGCCACAUUGGGACUGAGACACGGCCCAAACUCCUACGGGAGGCAGCAGUAGGGAAUCUUCCACAAUGGACGAAAGUCUGAUGGAGCAACGCCGCGUGAGUGAAGAAGGGUUUCGGCUCGUAAAGCUCUGUUGGUAGUGAAGAAAGAUAGAGGUAGUAACUGGCCUUUAUUUGACGGUAAUUACUUAGAAAGUCACGGCUAACUACGUGCCAGCAGCCGCGGUAAUACGUAGGUGGCAAGCGUUGUCCGGAUUUAUUGGGCGUAAAGCGAGUGCAGGCGGUUCAAUAAGUCUGAUGUGAAAGCCUUCGGCUCAACCGGAGAAUUGCAUCAGAAACUGUUGAACUUGAGUGCAGAAGAGGAGAGUGGAACUCCAUGUGUAGCGGUGGAAUGCGUAGAUAUAUGGAAGAACACCAGUGGCGAAGGCGGCUCUCUGGUCUGCAACUGACGCUGAGGCUCGAAAGCAUGGGUAGCGAACAGGAUUAGAUACCCUGGUAGUCCAUGCCGUAAACGAUGAGUGCUAAGUGU